ensembl:lncRNA
ACACACAUGUGACAUUGGGGACACACAUGAGGGGACAUUGGGACACACAGGAGGUGACAUUGGGGACACACGGGAGGUGACACACGCAUGAGGUGACACACGUGUGACAUUGGGACACACGGGAGGGGACAUUGGGGACACAUGUGAAGUGACACACACAGGAGGUGACACACUGACGGUGACACACCCGGCAGCGCUAUGGGGCACACCCAUGGCUACGUGCGCACACGGGGACACGUGGGGUGAUAAUGGGACACGUGGGGUGACAGUGGGGUGACAAUGAGACACGUGGGGUGACAGUGGGGACAUGUGGGGUGACAAUGGGGUGACAAUGGGACAGAUGGGGUGACAAUGGGGUGGCAGUGGGGUGACACAUGGGGUGACAGUGGGACAUGUGGGGUGUCAGUGGGGUGACAGUGGGGUGGCAGUGGGGUGACAAUGGGGACAGAUGGGGUGACAGUGGGACAUGCGGGGUGACAAUGGG